GAUGAACGCUGGCGGCGUGCCUAACACAUGCAAGUCGAACGGACAAAGAUGAAACCUAGUGAUUCUUUGUUAGUGGCGGACGGGUGAGUAACGCGUGGGUAACCUGCCCUGUACCGGGGGAUAACACUUAGAAAUAGGUGCUAAUACCGCAUAAGCGCACGAAGAUGCAUGUCUUUGUGUGAAAAACUCCGGUGGUACAGGAUGGACCCGCGUCUGAUUAGCUGGUUGGUGAGGUAACGGCCCACCAAGGCGACGAUCAGUAGCCGGCCUGAGAGGGUGACCGGCCACAUUGGGACUGAGACACGGCCCAAACUCCUACGGGAGGCAGCAGUGGGGAAUAUUGCACAAUGGGGGAAACCCUGAUGCAGCAACGCCGCGUGAGUGAAGAAGUAUUUCGGUAUGUAAAGCUCUAUCAGCAGGAAAGAAAAUGACGGUACCUGACUAAGAAGCCCCGGCUAACUACGUG
rnacentral:rRNA from 1 species